GGUCCCGAUCGGUGGAUCGGUGGUAGGUUCGUGAAACUGGAUGACGAGGAGCAGCCGUGCUUCCAGGUGGAAGCGCCGCGGCCGAUUGAGAGCGACGAGAGCGCGACCUCGGGGGUUGUGGCUACGUUUGAUUGUAGCUACGAGGUAUUCGAGCCGAUCGGGUCUUGCAACACUGCUAACGGAGGUGUCAGAAGAUAGAAGGAUAAGAGAACACGGAGCGACGAGACCGAUAAAAAUCGAUUCCUCCGCAAGAAUCGAAGCCCUUUCAGGGCGUUUGCGGACGAUGGCGACGACGGAGGAGAAGAAUCGCGAAAAAUAUCCAAGAACGAGCUAGAGGGGAACGGAAGAUCCUGGCCUGUCCACGGCAGGCACUCCUCUAUCACGGUAUACCCAUCUUCCGUGUAAUUAAUUCGAGGAGGAACGGAUGGAUCGCGGAGGGGAAGAUUGCCUCCAGUGGCAUCGGCCACUUACCAGCUCUCUUCUUCGCGAGACUAUCGCCACUCCUCGAUCUUCGUCGAGUUUCCACGUUUCUACCCCCAAAGACACGCGUGUACUGUCGAAUCCUUUCAAAGUGUCGCGAUUUUUCCCUCGCGUAACGUCGCGAAGCCAUCUCCCUUCUUGGAAUUGCUAGGUCGAGGCUUGGUGUUAUUUCUUGGAUACUGUGACGAUGGAAUUUUAUGUUUAAGCUUUGAAUUUUGUAGCGACAAUAAUAAAACAGUUGGAUAAAG